rnacentral:sRNA from 1 species
GUCAUCAGUUCAGCGUUUUCUUGCAAACGAUCACCGCUUUAAUUCUAGUUUGAAAUUGCUCUGUCAUAGUUGUUGUAUUGCGUGAGUGCGUGUCCUUUUGUUCUUCGAUUGUGAUAACUAAACUUGGAAUAAAACAAAUCAAGAUGAAGUACUUCAUUGCUAUUGCCUUACUGGUCGCUGCCGCUCAAGCCAUCCCCAUUGAAUUGGGUCACUAUGGUCAUGGACCACUGCUACAUGCUGCUCCAGUCAUUGCUCAUGCUCCAAUUGCUGUACAUGCACCCGAAC